GGACCAGGGUGGUGUAGUAGUUUGAAUGCUGGACUAUAGCUCCAGAGACCUGGGUUCGAAUCCCUGCUCAGCCA